rnacentral:rRNA from 1 species
UUCGCCAGGGAACAACGAGCCCCAGCUUAAAACCCAAAGGACUUGGCGGUGCUUUAGACCCCCCUAGAGGAGCCUGUUCUAGAACCGAUACUCCCCGUUCAACCUCACCCCCUCUUGCUCUUCCCGCCUAUAUACCGCCGUCGUCAGCUUACCCUGUGAAGGAUCAACAGUAAGCAGAAUUGGCAAAGCCUAAAACGUCAGGUCGAGGUGUAGCGAACGAGGGGGAAAGAAAUGGGCUACAUUUACUGUACCAGUAAACACGAACAUUGCACUGAAAUGAGCAUUUGAAGGAGGAUUUAGCAGUAAGAGGGGAAUAGAGAGCCCCCCUGAAAAUGGCCCUUAAGCGCGCACACACCGCCCGUCACUCUCCCCGACAUACGAUAACUCAUAAAUAAUAAAAACUAUAAAACAAGGGGAGGCAAGUCGUAACAUGGUAAGUGUACCGGAAGGUGCACUUGGAAAAACA